rfam:Nicotiana attenuata strain TT scaffold03196, whole genome shotgun sequence.
UGGACAUAUUAUUGUAUUCGAUUGUAUUCACAGCGUGAAACAGGGGAUUACACUGUUUUUAAACGGAAAGUGAAUCAAUUAACAUAAUAGACUCCU